AGAGUUUGAUCCUGGCUCAGGAUGAACGCUGGCGGUAUGCUUAACACAUGCAAGUCGAACGGAAUCCUUAGGGAUUUAGUGGCGGACGGGUGAGUAACGCGUGAGAAUCUGGCUUCAGGUCGGGGACAACAGUUGGAAACGACUGCUAAUACCGGAUAUGCCGAGAGGUGAAAGGUUAACUGCCUGGAGAUGAGCUCGCGUCUGAUUAGCUAGUUGGUGGGGUAAGAGCCUACCAAGGCGACGAUCAGUAGCUGGUCUGAGAGGAUGAUCAGCCACACUGGGACUGAGACACGGCCUAGACUCCUACGGGAGGCAGCAGUGGGGAAUUUUCCGCAAUGGGCGAAAGCCUGACGGAGCAAUACCGCGUGAGGGAGGAAGGCUCUUGGGUCGUAAACCUCUUUUCUCAGGGAAGAAAAAAAUGACGGUACCUGAGGGAUAAGCAUCGGCUAACUCCGUGCCAGCAGCCGCGGUAAUACGGAGGAUGCAAGCGUUAUCCGGAAUGAUUGGGCGUAAAGGGUCCGCAGGUGGCUAUGUAAGUCUGCUGUUAAAGAGUCAUGCUUAACAUGAUAAGAGCAGUGGAAACUACACAGCUAGAGUGCGUUCGGGGCAGAGGGAAUUCCUGGUGUAGCGGUGAAAUGCGUAGAUAUCAGGAAGAACACCGGUGGCGAAGGCGCUCUGCUAGGCCGCAACUGACACUGAGGGACGAAAGCUAGGGGAGCGAAUGGGAUUAGAUACCCCAGUAGUCCUAGCCGUAAACGAUGGAUACUAGGCGUGGCUUGUAUCGACCCGAGCCGUGCCGAAGC
rnacentral:rRNA from 1 species